ACGCUGGCGGCAGGCUUAACACAUGCAAGUCGAACGGUAACAGGGAUUAGCUUGCUAAUUUGCUGACGAGUGGCGGACGGGUGAGUAAUGCUUGGGAAUCUGGCUUAUGGAGGGGGAUAACUACGGGAAACUGUAGCUAAUACCGCGUAAUAUCGGAAGAUUAAAGGGUGGGACUUUCGAGCCACCUGCCAUAAGAUGAGCCCAAGUGGGAUUAGGUAGUUGGUUAGGUAAAGGCUGACCAAGCCGACGAUCUCUAGCUGGUCUGAGAGGAUGACCAGCCACACUGGAACUGAGACACGGUCCAGACUCCUACGGGAGGCAGCAGUGGGGAAUAUUGCACAAUGGGGGGAACCCUGAUGCAGCCAUGCCGCGUGAAUGAAGAAGGCCUUCGGGUUGUAAAGUUCUUUCAGUGACGAGGAAGGUUGAUAGGUUAAUAGCCUAUCAAAUUGACGUUAAUCACAGAAGAAGCACCGGCUAACUCCGUGCCAGCAGCCGCGGUAAUACGGGGGGUGCGAGCGUUAAUCGGAAUAACUGGGCGUAAAGGGCACGCAGGCGGUGACUUAAGUGAGAUGUGAAAGCCCCGAGCUUAACUUGGGAAUUGCAUUUCAUACUGGGUCGCUAGAGUACUUUAGGGAGGGGUAGAAUUCCACGUGUAGCGGUGAAAUGCGUAGAGAUGUGGAGGAAUACCGAAGGCGAAGGCAGCCCCUUGGGAAUGCACUGACGCUCAUGUGCGAAAGCGUGGGGAGCAAACAGGAUUAGAUACCCUGGUAGUCCACGCUGUAAACGAUGUCGAUUUGGGGAUUGGGCUUUGAGCUUGGUGCCCGUAGCUAACGUGAUAAAUCGACCGCCUGGGGAGUACGGCCGCAAGGUUAAAACUCAAAUGAAUUGACGGGGGCCCGCACAAGCGGUGGAGC
rnacentral:rRNA from 1 species